CUUUUCUCCUUUUUUUCUCUCUCGACUCUUUCUCUCCUCGCGACUCCGACUAGUUUCCUUCGAAUCUGAGCCUGGCAUGGGUCGGGAUCACCACCAAAUGAUUUCUAUUGAACUCAGGGGUUUGGCGAAGCUUUCCCAACCAAAUCUUUGGAUUGCAGUUGGUUAUGUUUGCUUUCACCAUUUCCCAUUUCUUCAGCUCUAUAUUUUCUUUUACGUCGGCAUAUUUUCACUCUUUCACAAUGUGAUCCAAUAUCUCUCAAUCCCACUUUAGGGUUUCGAAAAUUUCAAAACUAAAAUUUUCUUUUCAAAUUUCAAACCCCAGCUUGGAGAUCACCUAAGGCUCCGAUUCAAGAAGCGUAUGCUGUUGGCUGUUAAGAUUCUGAUUUAUGACGUGUCCCAGAGCAGAAUUUUGAUAUAGGCUGGUUUCAAUAUAAAAGUUUCAAAACUAAAGAGUGUGAUAUUGGUGGAGAAAGGUGGUGGAGAUCAGAAUAAUUGAUAACGUUGCAUGUCUUCUUGUUUCUUAAGGAUUUUGACUGUGCAAUCACUCACGUCGCCGACUUUGGCAAUUUCGACUCUCUUGCAACCUUUUUGCAUGUUCUAGGAGAACAAUACUCAAUUUAUACAACAACUGUUAAAUUUAAGUGUGCCGAUUCUGUAGAUUGCUAUAUAAAUAUCAUGCAUGUGAUCAAUGCAAACACAGGAAUGCAACUUGUACUGUUGUAUCAAGUCACGAGUUUAACAUUACAGAUAAUUUAUUCCCAAAGAUCCCACUUUAUUUUCCCUGUUCUUAUAAACUAAUAUGAAAA